GUUCUUCACACCAGUGUGUGUAAGGGUGUGUCUAUCAAGGUGACUCUUACAGAUGAAUUGUUUCCCACAUUCCUUACAUUCAUAGUUCUUCACACCAGUGUGUGUAAGGGUGUGUGUAUCAAGGUGACUCUUACAGAUGAAUUGUUUCCCACAUUCCUUACAUUCAUAGUUCUUCACACCAGUGUGUGUAAGGGUGUGUCUAUCAAGGGUACUCUUCUGGAUGAAUAGUUUCCCACAUUCCUUACAUUCAUAGUUCUUCACACCAGUGUGUGUAAGGGUGUGAUAUCUGAGGCCAUGCCUUGUGGUUAAUUCUUUUCCACACUCCAGACACACAAACUUCCUCUCUCCUUUGUUGCUGGAGUUGCCAGCAGCAAGUUGCUUCAUCUGGUGACCACUGACCCUCCUGCCCCCUGCAGCAGUCUGCUCCUGCUUGUCCUGGCCACUCAUGCUGCUGUCCAGCCCUGCAGAUGAGGCGGCCCCAACCUUUGCGGCGGCUGAGUGUGUUGUUGUUGUCCUCGUUCUUUCCUUGUUCUCUUUUCCUCCACA